rnacentral:rRNA from 1 species
CCUACGGGUGGCAGCAGUGGGGAAUAUUGGGCAAUGGGCGCAAGCCUGACCCAGCAACGCCGCGUGAAGGAAGAAGGCUUUCGGGUUGUAAACUUCUUUUGACAGGGAAGAGUAGAAGACGGUACCUGUCGAAUAAGCCACGGCUAACUACGUGCCAGCAGCCGCGGUAAUACGUAGGUGGCAAGCGUUGUCCGGAUUUACUGGGUGUAAAGGGCGUGUAGCCGGGUUGACAAGUCAGAUGUGAAAUCCUGCGGCUUAACCGCAGAACUGCAUUUGAAACUGUUGAUCUUGAGUACUGGAGAGGCAGACGGAAUUCCUAGUGUAGCGGUGAAAUGCGUAGAUAUUAGGAGGAACACCGAUAGCGAAGGCGACUAUCUGGCACAUAACUGACGCUGAGGAGCGAAAGCGUGGGUAGCAAACAGGAUUAGAUACCCGAGUAGUC